GCCGGGAUGGGUGUGGGCGAGUAGAGGGUUGGAUCUCCAUUUUCUCCCAAAAAUGGAGGUAUAGCGUUUGACGCCCGCGGCUCAGCCGAAGGAGCACUGAGCGAGUUCAGCGAAAGCGUGCAAAAGGGAGUAAUCAAGAAGCGUUGCUGAUUAGACCUAUUCUCAGUGGGAAAUUGCGUAAAAGGAGCCUGACCCAGAGCUCGUCUCCUCUCUUGGAAGAUUCAUCCAUUUUGUCGCCCUUCAGUUGUAGUGGUGGUGGGGGUGUCGAACGCGCUCUAGCUGGGGAGAGGGUGUCUCUCUGACUCUCUCUUUCCCCCCCCCCCUUUAUUUUUUGAGGGGAAAUAAAGGGAAAUGACAGUUAAAUGAAUCCAGCUUCUUCCACUGACUAAGCUGCUUGGGAAAGUUACAGAUAGUGAUCACAUGACCCUGGGACAGUACAAUUGUCAUAAAUACAUGCCAGUUGAGGCAGAGAGGCCUGCAAGUCUCUGAGUUGUGUCGGAGAGAGCUGAAGAGAAUAAAAGCUGUUAUUACCAUCAGAAUGUGUGUUCUUCUUUCACCAUUGACUUGAGGACUCAACACUGGCGAUGAGGAUGGGAUGGCUUACAAGAUAAAGAAAGAAGACUUGUAAGGCUUACCCAAGGAGUCCUGGAGAAAAGGAAGACGGCGUUAAAUUCA